GCGGGCGUCAUCUAGUGGUUAGGAUACAAGCCCUCCAAGCUUGACACGUGGGUUCGACUCCCACCGCCCGCA
rnacentral:tRNA from 1 species